UGGGGAAUGAUUGCACAAUGGGCGCAAGCCUGAUGCAGCAACGCCGCGUGAGGGAUGACGGCCUUCGGGUUGUAAACCUCUUUUAGUAGGGAAGAAGCGAAAGUGACGGUACCUGCAGAAAAGCACCGGCUAACUACGUGCCAGCAGCCGCGGUAAUACGUAGGGUGCGAGCGUUGUCCGGAAUUAUUGGGCGUAAAGAGCUCGUAGGCGGUCUGUCGCGUCUGCUGUGAAAACCCGAGGCUCAACCUCGGGCCUGCAGUGGGUACGGGCAGACUAGAGUGCGGUAGGGGAGAAUGGAAUUCCUGGUGUAGCGGUGGAAUGCGCAGAUAUCAGGAGGAACACCGAUGGCGAAGGCAGUUCUCUGGGCCGUAACUGACGCUGAGGAGCGAAAGCGUGGGGAGCGAACAGGAUUAGAUACCCUGGUAGUCCACGCCGUAAACGUUGGGCGCUAGAUGUGGGGACCAUUCCACGGUUUCCGUGUCGCAGCUAACGCAUUAAGCGCCCCGCCUGGGGAGUACGGCCGCAAGGCUAAAACUUAAAUGAAUUG
rnacentral:rRNA from 1 species